AGCUCCAAUAGCGUAUAUUAAAAAGCUCGUAGUUGGAUCUCAACAGCCUUGAAGCGGUUAACUUUGUAGUUUUACUGCUUUGUAGGCUGUGCUUUUGCUGGAGGUUUAGGGGUGCUCUUGAUCGAGUGUCUCUGGAUGCCAGCAGGUUUACUUUGAAAAAAUUAGAGUGCUCAAAGCAGGCUAAAAUGCCUGAAUAUUCGUGCAUGGAAUAAUAGAAUAGGAUGUCGAUCCUAUUUUGUUGGUUUUCGGGACUCGACAUAAUGAUAAAUAGGGACAGUCGGGGGCAUUUGUAUUCAAACGACAGAGGUGAAAUUCUUGGACCGUUUGAAGACAAACUACUGCGAAAGCAUUUGCCAAGAAUGUUUUCA
rnacentral:rRNA from 1 species